GAGGGUACAGUUCUGCGGUAGAGUGUGUGCUCAGCAAGCACCAGGUCCUGGGUUCAAUCCCCAGUACCUCCA
rfam:Camelus ferus unplaced genomic scaffold scaffold852, whole genome shotgun sequence.